rnacentral:lncRNA from 1 species
AAAAAUAUUAUUACUGACACCUUUCUUCAUUUCUUAUAUUGCAUAUUUUAACACUGAGGAAAUGGAGACAUAGACACGUCCUGUAUGCACUUUGGUUUCACCAGAUUUACAACAAAAGGAUUAGACAUUAUCAACAUGAUCAAGUUCUUCAUUUUACUUUGGAUGUGGCAUUACAGCUUGACUUACUUGGCAUGGACAAAUAAUUUCCACUAUUGUUUAUUAAACUUUACAUUUAUUCAACUGUACCCCAGUCGUACCUACAUAUUAUACAGAGCAUGAACAUUGCCAGUAUUCUUAUCAUAGUAUCACCAACUUAUCAGUGGUUUAAAGCACAUUCAGCAACUGGUUCUCACAUUUAUCAAGUUCAGAAUGAUCCCAUGUUUUCAAACAGGAUUACAUUACAGACAUGGCAGAUAUUCACUUUUUUUUUAAAUGAGACUCAAUGCAUUUCAACAUGGACAUAAGUGUAUAUAUCAGUUCCUUUAUCUGUGUGGACAUAUUAUUUCUCCAACCAAUCAAUCAGAUCAUGUAGCACAAUUAGCUUAUUGACUACAAGGCAGUAUUACAGCCUCAUCAGUGCCUGUGCAAACAUUCCAGAAGUAUGUUACUGAUUAUGAACCAAAAUUGUAAACCUACUCCGUAAAUCGUGAUGUACCAUAAAGGACAAACUACAGCUUCAUCAGUGCCCAAGCAGUCCAGAAGUAUGUUAAAGCGAACAUGAUUGUAAACCUACUCCAUAACUCGGGAUGUAGCUAAUUCCAGCAACUUGAAUCCUUAAAAUUGGACAACAUACACUUUUUAAAUAGACAACUUUACAUUUAAAAUAUGUCAAAACCAAGAAUCUAUACAGUUUUCCUAUUAAUUUAGAUAUUAUAGAGAUUGUUUAUAUCUUCUUAUUGAUGUUAAAGAUAUUAAUAUUUUGGGAUAUAGUGAUGUUUACUGUAGAGUAUUUGUAUUUUAAACUUUUUUUUUACUCACACAAUGUUUAAAUUGCAGAUGGCAGUAUACAUAGCAUUUAAUACUACAUCUACCCCAGAAUCUAACAGUACUUUAUAGCUGUGAAAUUUGACAAACACCUCUAAAAAAUUAUUAAUUAUAUAGCUGCAUAUUAUAACAUCUUAUUCAAUGAUGAGAGCUUUUAAGCCUGAAAAGUAUUAUUUUAUAAUUGCCUCAACUGAACAGAGUGGCAUUUUCUUCACAAAUUUGUUUAGGAAAAUUUAUCAUGUUUGAAUAAUGAAUUUAUAGUUCUCAUGCCUGUAUGGUAAUCUACUAGCACGUAGGAUAUCCCCAUGCAUACCUUGCAUACAAACAUCUACAAAUGAGAUGCCAAGUCUCACCUCUUCGUGGAGAAUCCUCGCUCCACAUUCCCUAAACUAGCAGAUUGUUAUACAGGCAGUUUCUCCCCCACUCUGAAUACUGAAUGCAUUUCUUCUAAUGUUCAAAUCUAUUACCAACCAAUCUGGUGCAGUUGUUGCAUUUCAGAAACUGAUACUGAAACACUCUAUCAUUGAUAUACUGAAUAUCAUUUUUAUAGCAUUCUCAUCAUUGAAUAUACUGAAUAUCAUUUUUAUAGCAUUCUAAUCAUUGAAUAUACUGAAUAUCAUUUUUAUAGCAUUCUAAUCAUUGAAUAUACUGAAUAUCAUUUUUUUAGCAUUCUUAUUAUUGAAUAUACUGAAUAUCAU